GACGAACGCUGGCGGCGUGCUUAACACAUGCAAGUCGAACGAAGUGGCGAACGGGUGAGUAACGCGUAAUCAACCUGCCCUUCAGAGGGGGACAACAAUUGGAAACGACUGCUAAUACCGCUAACUGACGGAGGGGAUGGCGUCUGAUUUGCUAGUUGGGGGGGUAACGGCCCACCACGGCGAUGAUCAGUCGCCGGUCUGAGAGGAUGAACGGCCACAUUGGGAAUGAGACACGGCCCAGACUCCUACGGGAGGCAGCAGUGGGGAAUCUUCCGCAAUGGACGAAAGUCUGACGGAGCAACGCCGCGGGAGUGAUGACGGCCUUCGGGUUGUAAAGCUCUGUUAAUCGGGACGCGGUACCGGAAUAGAAAGCCACGGCUAACUACGUGCCAGCCGCCGCGGUAAUUC
rnacentral:rRNA from 1 species